GACGAACGCUGGCGGCGUGCUUAACACAUGCAAGUCGAACGGAAAGGCCCUGCGUUUGUGGGGUGCUCGAGGGGCGAACGGGUGAGUAACACGUGAGUAACCUGCCCUUGACUUUGGGAUAACUUCAGGAAACUGGGGCUAAUACCGGAUAGGAGCUCCUGCUGCAUGGUGGGGGUUGGAAAGUUUCGGCGGGUGGGGAUGGACUCGCGGCUUAUCAGCUUGUUGGUGGGGUAGUGGCUUACCAAGGCUUUGACGGGUAGGCGGCCUGAGAGGGUGACCGGCCACAUUGGGCCUGAGAUACGGACCAGACUCCUACGGGAGGCAGCAGUGGGGAGUCUUGCACAAUGGGACGACGCCUGAUGCAGAAACGCCGCGUGCGGGAUGACGGCCUUCGGGUUGUGAACCGCUUUCGCCUGUGACGAAGCGUGAGUGACGGUAAUGGGUAAAGAAGCACCGGCUAACUACGUG
rnacentral:rRNA from 1 species